rnacentral:rRNA from 1 species
CUACGGGUUGCAGCAGUGAGGAAUUUUGCGCAAUGGGCGAAACCCUGACGCAGCAACGCCGCGUGAGCGAAGAAGGCCCUCGGGUCGUAAAGCUCUGUCAAGUGGGAAAAAAAUUUUUUGAUCAAUAGUCAAAAGACUUGAUGGUACCACUGGAGGAAGCACCGGCUAACUCCGUGCCAGCAGCCGCGGUAAUACGGAGGGUGCGAGCGGUGUUCGGAUUUACUGGGCGUAAAGAGCGUGUAGGCGGUUUAGCAAGUCAGAUGUGAAAGCCCUGGGCUCAACCCGGGAAGUGCAUUUGAAACUGCUUCACUAGAGUAUGGGAGAGGAGAUUGGAAUUCCUGGUGUAGAGGUGAAAUUCGUAGAUAUCAGGAGGAACACCCGUGGCGAAGGCGAUUCUCUGGACCAAUACUGACGCUGAGACGCGAAAGCGUGGGGAGCAAACAGGAUUAGAUACCCCGGUAGUC